GGGACACCGAAAAUAUAUUCUGAGGAGAGAGAAAACAGCUCCCCCUCUCCUUCCCCGACAGGAAAAACGAGCGGAAACGCACUCCCAGCCCGAGCCCCGCUGGGAAGGGCGCGGGGCGAGCUGCCCGCGCGGCGUGAAUAUUCAGCAGGGGUGGGGCCCGAACAAUGGCCGGCCGGCGGGCAUCGUGAACCGCGGCCGGGAGGCAGCGGCCGGCCGGCGGGGCGCUUGCGGAAAGGGCCAGAGUAGGGAUGAGACGGCCCGGGACGUCCCCGGUGGGGUGCCGAGGGCUACGUUUGUGACAGGCUUGGAGGUGCGGAAUUCGGUGAGCAUCACCUGGCCGCCGGUCCCAAGGCUUUCGGUGGAAACAGUACCCAAAACACCACCUCUAAUCGCCUUGCGCUACCUCACUCAGUAGGUGAAGACUAGACAUUAAAAGAGCCAUGAAGAGACCAUUUCAAGAGCACAGGCCAGAGGAAUAAGGCCUGGAGAAAGGAGAGAUGCAAGUCUUGGGCCAGUAGACUCUCUUAAGACUUGGCAUCUGACAGGAUGCCAGAGUCGAUGUAGACAAGGGAGUAACAUAUUUGCUUGUGGCCCAGAGCUUUGUUCACACUUGGGAGGAUACUGUCAGGCACAGAGGAAAGGAUGCAAGUUGGCGAAUGGUGGUGACAAAGGAAGGUCUAGUUUUGGACUCUGUGGGAAGUUAGUUAACUUUUCAUGCAGAAGCAGUGACACCUGGCCAUCUUGUAACUCGGCUUGAGAUCCAAGGGUAAGGACCAUUUUCUCAAUCAACAGCCCUAUGUUAGCUCAGGCUGUGAUAACAAAAUACAUAGACUGUGUGGCUUAAAUAAUAGAGAUUUAUUUUCUCCCAGUUCUGGAGGCUAAAAAUCCAAGAUCUAUGUUCCAGCUGAUUUGGUUUCUGGUGAGAGCUAUCUCCCUGGCUUUCAGAUGGCCACCUUCUCACUAUUGUUCUCAUAUGGGUUUUCCUCUGCUAAUACACAGAGAGAGGGGAAAAAAAAAUCCAUAUGGUAUCUCAUCUUCUAAGGACACUUACCCUAUUCUAUCAGGGCCCCACCUUUAUGAUCUUAUUGAUUUAACCUUAAUUAUUUCCUUAGAGGCCCCAUCUCCAAAUACAGCCACACUGAGGCUUAGGGUUUCAACACAUGGGGGACAGAAACAUUCAGUCAAUAGCAAGUCAUGUGCAAUACAUAAUAUCAGAAAGUAGACUUAAGCCAUGGCCCUUGUCCAAAAGAAUCUAUUUGAGAGCACAAACCCACCCAAAAAGAAUCAAGGUAAUAAUUUGGAAAAUAAAUGCUAAUUUGGCAUUUUAAGCUGGAGGAAAAGACAACUUGCUUAGACAAAGAACAUGAAGUUGAAAAUGAGGAAACUGGCUGCACUGGGCCAGAGGACUUAAUUCAGAGAACCCCAAGAGAUAAAUCUAGACAGGUUGGGUGGGACCAGGAGACCAAGCUGAGGCAUGGGUAAUGUGGAGGUUAAAAACAGAAGCCAGAUUAUCAGUCAAGUCAAGGAAGGGACAGCCUAGCCUUGGCUUUCAAAAGCUCCGAUGACGGGUUAGAUGCUUGUGUGUUCAGCUGGCUGUGGGAUAUGUAAAUGUGCAUCUUCGCAGGGUACAAUGGGCCAGUCGGCAAUUAUCCCACACAGUCACAGAAAUCCCAAGGGGAGCUCAAUUACGCAAGAAGUCAUCAGUGACAACCCCCUCUACAUCACUUCAUUCAUUUCCUAGUUUUUUCUUUGUUGCAAAAAUAUUGGUAGCACUUUUUAACCUCAGUGUGAGGCAGGGCAAGGAAGGUAGCAGAUCUGUGAAAUGGGACUCCAUGAAUGUAAUUUAAGGGCUCAGAGUCAGUGAGGACUUAGGUCACCUGGAAACAGAUGAUGGAAGUAGUGGUAAAGAGAGGGAACUGAGUCAAGCAAAGGAAGCAAUGGUGGAAUGUGUUUAGGAAAAUCUCAGAAAGGGAAAAGCCUUGGUUAGGAGUCAGAGAUCUGAGUUCCUCUUCUCUGAUGGACAAGGCGUUAAGCAAACACUUACCCUCUCUGCCCCUCAGUUUUCUAACAUGUGAGAUGAGGGUGUUUGAUUUAAAUGAUUGAAAGAUCUUCUUAGGACCUUGGAGACUCAUUUAUAUAACCCAGGCCUCAGCCCUACAACUGCUCAUCUCUCUUAGCCAGAGUAGAAAGAGACUGAUAUGAGCAACGGAAGUUAAAGGAACAUGUGGAUGUUGUAGAUUUGGCAGCAAAGUUCAGCCCUUUAAAAAGCCAUUUUUGAGCAUUUGUAGAGAGAUUAAGAAUCUUUUUUGACUGGCAUAUCAGUUGAAUUAAAAGGAAGCAAAUAUUCUAGUGCACUCUAGGCUGGAAAGCGUGGGAUGCAGAAAAAGAUCAAAGGGGCAACAAAAGAAGAAGCAGACCAGAGGCAAGACAGACAUCCUACCCUAACUACCAAGGCUGUCGAUGGUGUACUUCUAUGAUGAGGAAGUUAUCUAGCUCAGACCUACCAAAAGGAGAUCCUGACACAAAGCUUUGGUGCACAUAGUUUAUUAAAGAGAUGAUUACAGGAAGCCCAAGUGAAAGAGAAGGAAAAGUGAAACAUGGAGAUGAGCGAAUGAGGAGUGUGUUUACGAGCAGGUUUUCACUCUGGGCAAGUGGGCUAGAUGUCCCUAGCUAGCUAGAAAAAGAAAAUGUAGAUUCCUCUUACUUCAUGUGUUCAUGGAAAAGUUUUCAGUAAACAUUUUAAAAAAGCAGAACAGUAUUUUAAAUGCAGAGAAACUUGCUUUUUAUAGAAAACCUAUUUGAAAUGUUUUAUGAAGGGGAUUACCGCCUCUUAACUUAUCCUUUUUGUAAAUUUGUGUUUUGCAUAUAAGGAUUGCUUCAAUCAAGCUCCACUGUGAAAAGUCCUUUACCUACAAAAUCCUCAAGGGGUCUCAAAAAUGAAGUCCUAGCUUUAGAAAUCAAGAUGCAAGCCAUAGGAAGUGGUUGGGAGAAGCCGGAUGGGGAUGUUAAAUAGUUGUCGAGUAUGUCUGGUUUUGAUAGAUGGUUGGGUGAGUGGAAUCAGACUCUGCCAACGAAAUUGC